rnacentral:lncRNA from 10 species
CGCGAGCGUGUGUGCUGCCAGCUGCUCUGGAACAAUGGGGCCCUUUAUGUCGCUCGUGCACCUCAGCACGGAUUUAGUAAUGUUUUGAUUUAUCAAGGACAAGCGUCAGCAGGCAGGAGAGAGGCUGUUUAUACCUAAGAGCUGCUUUUCCGUGAGGUCUGUAGUGAAGAGCCCUGCCUCGGAGUCUGAUUUCCAGGCGACUUCCUGUGCCAGGAGUCAGUUGGAAAGAGUGAGGUCACCUUGAGCAAAAGCAAUGCUGGGAAUAUUUGCCGGACAUGAAAAGAACUCAGGACCUCCUCAAGGUCUUCAAGUGAGAUCCUGUCCUCCAGGGGUUGGACAAGGUCUCAUCUUCCUGGAACCUCUGUCUUGGGCAGCAACAGAGCCUCCCCAGAUUAAACACUUGAAGACCGACCUUCAGGAACCCCAAAUACUCCAACCACCUGCCGAACACAGGGCAGUUACUGACGAACUCCGGCAGUUCUCCAACCACGGCCCAGCAAAGCCAGGUGCACACGCUGCCUACCACAGUGCCAUCUCUACAGUUUAUUGACGUAGAAAAGAGAGUCAUGUGUCUCUAUAACUUUAAAAAUAUUACCUUUGUGAUAGUUUGCUGAGAAUGAUGGUUUCCAGUUUCAUCCAUGUCCCUACAAAGGACAUGAACUCAUCACUUUUUAUGGCUGCAUAGUAUUCCAUGGUGGAUAUGUGCCACAUUUUCUUAAUCCAGUCUAUCGUUGUUGGACAUUUAGGUUGGUUCCAAGUCUUUGCUAUUGUGAAUAGUGCCACAAUAAACAUACGUGUGCAUGUGUCUUUAUAGCAGCAUGAUUUAAGGACAAAAAAACCAAACACCGCAU